CGGCCCAGACCAUGGGAGUGCGCCCUGCACCACUGCACCUCCUCCAAAUCCAGACCUGGUUCCGGGAAGUCCAGAGGGGAGACAGCUCACUGGGAAGCUCACCCCUCCAGCCGAGACUUCUUCCCCAGCAGAGCCUCACGGCGGGAUGACUGACAGCGGGCUUAGCCCCGCCCGCUGGGGGCGUGGCCUCGCCCUCCGCUCCGAGCAGGACUGGAACUGGUGCGUCUGGCCGUCUGGCCCGAGUUCAAGUGCGUGCGCUAACUCCCCCGCUCACUGCUUGGGGAGGAAGUGAAGGCUGGAAGAGCGACUCAGCAGCAGCGGGCCGAGGAGCAGGCAGACGCACGUGGCAGACCGGGGCCGCGUGAGAAGCCCUGGGACUCGUGCCGUGCCGUCGGCUUGCCAAACCCAGUCCUGGCAGGGGUGGGGUUCCCACCGAGAGAGAGGCCCUCGAAGGCGCGGGCCCACCUAAUUAAUUUCAAGUGUUUGGGGAAAUCAGAGAAAAAUUGCUGAAGACAAAUCCCAGACCUCCCAUUGGACAACUGCUCCCCCUGCUCAUGGUCCCCUUAAGUCUAGUUCCCAUGCAAAUGCGGGCCUCCAGCCCCUCUCCUCGUGGGGAGGAGCGGGGGAGGGCGCUCGGUCCACCCUCCCUCCCUGCCCGAAGCGGCCCCUGGAGGAGGUCUCCCCGCUCCGGGCCUCAGACUGGAAGAGCACGGCGCCCCAGGCUGCCAUUGUCCCCGUCCCCGGGGGCAAACAAGCUUAGAGACGACCGAUCAGCUUCCUUGCAGAUGGAAUUAACCAACGUGGCUGGUGAAUUGCAAAGAUCGCCAGCGCUGGUGUGGGUUUUCACCAGGGACGUCUUCCGUAGGAGAAGGCGGCUCCAGAUUUCUCCCACCGUGGAGACUGGUGUAGGAAGGAGAAAGCACCGUCCGGAUGGAGCUGAAGGAAGCUGCAGUAAGGUCUUUUGUUAAAAUUGGAAAGCAGUCCUAGGAAGGACGGGGGAAGGACUCUGCCGUGGAAGAAACCAGCAGAGGAUCAAACACGAUGGGCGGAGAAAUGGAGCCCUCCAGUGAAGAGGUCCCCACGCCCCCAGGUACAGCACC
rnacentral:lncRNA from 9 species